rnacentral:rRNA from 1 species
CAGCAGCCGCGGGAAUACGAAGGGGGCUAGCGUUGCUCGGAAUUACUGGGCGUAAAGGGAGCGUAGGCGGACAUUUAAGUCAGGGGUGAAAUCCCGGGGCUCAACCUCGGAAUUGCCUUUGAUACUGGGUGUCUUGAGUAUGAGAGAGGUAUGUGGAACUCCGAGUGUAGAGGUGAAAUUCGUAGAUAUUCGGAAGAACACCAGUGGCGAAGGCGACAUACUGGCUCAUUACUGACGCUGAGGCUCGAAAGCGUGGGGAGCGAACAGGAUUAGAUACCCGCGUAGUCCCUGUCUCUUAUAA